GUGGGAAAAGUCUCAUAGGUUCAUAAACUGGGAACUACAUAGACACCAUUUUAAAAUUAGCACACAGGUAUAUUCCUACAAGAAGUGCUUGGUCUGAUUUACCACAUGACCUAAUGACUCAUGACCAUGUGGUUAAACACUGCUGGAUCUUCUACCAUAACUUUUUAAUAGUUGCAGUAAAUCAUUAAGUAAACCUUCAAAAAGAUAGCUUCAAAGAAGGAGCUGCUUGGUGGAGGUUAUUAGAACCUCAGAAAACAUACAAGACUGACAUAAGGAAUCCUUCCUCUUGGGUUGACUGGUGAAGUCCACUUUAUUUACGAUUAGCAAGAAAAGUGCUUUCUGAGGUUUGUUACUGAUGAAAGCACUGAGUUUUCUGUUCAUCGGGACAGAAAAAGGAGUAGGGAAAAGACAUCAAUGCAGAGCACAUGUGGAGUUCUGCCCGUGCAAUGAAGAAAAUACUUUGACUACAUUGGUUUUUGGUGUAAACUACUGAACUUGCAAACACCAAGUUGUGGGGGAGACAAGCCAAGGUGGUGAAGUCCAAGCAAGAUGAGGAAGCAUAGAUAUGGUGUCAAAUUCACCAGGGAAAACAUCCGUAACAGAGCAGAGGUAGGCCAGAGCAUUUAACAAAAGCCUGGUUAUCUGGUGUUCUGUAUGGCAGAAGACCAAAUACUGGUCCUCUUGCAGUCAAGCAUCAAAACUAGGUUUUUCCAAGGCCCAGGAGUUUAUCCCAGGUGUUUUGCUACCAUAGUGACAGCCUUAUUCACGUGUGUAGAGAGCAGUUUAGUUUAAAUUAAGAACUGCUGUUAUCAAGCUGUAGUUUUGGAACCAAAUGACAGUUAUAUGAAUUAGAUGUAACUAUUAUGAAAAAAUAUUUCUCAGUGCACUUUCUAGAUCCAGGCUAACACUCAACAGGAUACUGCAGGCAUUGUUGCAAUACUAAAGAUCACAGUUAAUACAGCAGAGUAAACAUAAAAGUAAGUUUCAACUUCAGAAAAUUAUGUUGUCUAAGCAUAUAGAGUUGAAUGAGCAAACCAAUAGCAACCAAAAUAAAGGUGCAAAUUCACAUACAUAUUCCAACUUGGAGUAGAGCAGGUGCUAAAUAACACUGUUAGAACAGUCUAUUUGUAGCAAAACUAUGCCAGGUAUCAACCAUGCUAGAUUUUCCUGUAGUUUCCUGCACAAAGAGACCAACUUUAAAAAGAAAGUGUUUAUUUCAACUUAUUCUGUAUUGUGGGAAUAGCCUAAGUUCUUAUUUCUUUGUGUGUUGAUUCAAUGAGUACUGGUGAUCUGUGUUCAUCUUUUUCUUUAAUACUUUUCAGAACAAGUAUGUCCUGAACUGGUGGUUUAGAAUAUUGGUGGCUGGCAUUCAGAGUAAAUCAAAGAAGCUGGGAAAAUUUGGGGGCUACUAGUAUCUUUGAUAUGUUUCUAGCAAUGCCUUUUGGAUCUUUAUUAAUGUCCUUCUCAAAUGACAACUUGCAGAUACAAAGUCUUGAGACUAUGUAUAGGCUACAUUUAAGUUUAUCUUCACUGAAAAGCAGUUAGAGAAAAUGUGACAUGACAAGGUUUUAGUUCCUUCCUGACUCACAACUAUGCAGAACACUAGAACUGUUACCCUAAAAUGAUCAAGUCACCUCAUGCUUUUGGCAUUGCUCUUUUUCUCCAGUUGCUUGUAACAUUGGUUUCAGCAUCAAUUGUAGUCCUGUCCCUGCUGCAUUUUAUCACAGUACAUGGAAAAAUGUCUGGGAUAGUUCAAGUAUGUGAAAGAAAUUCAGUUGGGGCCUGGAGAGAAGGAAGAGAGAAAGAAAAUAGUUCAGGUGAUCGAAAAUACUUGUGGCUUUGAAGUCAGUUUCAAACCAAAAAUUUAGUUUUAGUGUAGAUUUUAUCUUUGUGAAUUUGAAAAUAGGGAUGCUAAACUAUUACUAAAGUAACUGUUGUAUUUGAGAUCAUCAAAUGUGUAUUUGAUAAUAUAUUGAGAUAUUUGAUAAUAUAUUGAGAUCAUAAAAUUUAGUUUUGAGAUUAUAAUUUAUAGUAAUAUAUUUUAGCAUAAUGUAUUAAUUCAAAUUUUAUUUCCAUGUCUAGCUCCCAUUAGCUGUAUCCUGCAACAUCGGCACCAAUUUUUAAAGUCUUUGGGAAGUGGAAUUUGCACUUAUGUCAGCGGCUGUUCAGUUCAGUGCAUGCAAGCUACAGGCAGCUGUUUGCAUCUCAUUUGUUUUUAUAAACUGGGAAAUUAUUUUUUGGAGAUGCAGUUUUUGUGAGGCAAAUGAUCCCUAUUGACAGAUCUGAUUCCAUAUGAACGUGAUUCAUAGUGAUGUUGCACAUGCCACUUCUGGCUUUCCAGUGCACUUCCCAAAAUCUGAUUUUUAAUUCUUGGUUGCGUUUUGACGCAAAGAUAGUUAUAUUUGUUUCAAUUUUAAAAGAAACCCAAGGUGUUCAUAUCCUUGAAUGUGUUUACUGCAUUAACUGUGAAGUCAUUUGAUUGCAGUAGUGCUAGGGAGCUUAGUAAAGUACCCAACAAAAAAUAAAAGAGUAUUUUGGAAGCUCAAUAGAGUUUUUUAAGCUCAAAAGCAUCUAUUUAAUUCAAACCACACAGUGUGUGAUUGUGAUAUCAUUAGAAUAAAUAUUCCAAAUGAGCCAUCCCUCACCCUCCAUAUCAAAGGGCUGACAUAAUUUCUGCAUAUUGUAUUGAUAGUUUCUGGUAUUCAGUACAGAGGUCAGACAAGUAAGCUGGGAAAGCAAGCUGCGUUCCAAAACGCCACACCAAGUCACAGCAUGAGAUUUUUAUUUUCUUUGAAUAUAAGUUCAUAACAAGUGAACUUUUAAUCUCUUCUGUCCACCUGUGUUUACUGUAGCCAGGGGACUUAUUGCUUUCCUACUGCUUUUUCUUUUAUUUAAAGACAAAAUGAAAGCAGAAGAGAAUAUGGGAAAACUCCUAAUAGGGCAGAUUGGGCUAUCCCACACAGUGGUAGCUUCCAAGGAGACUGUUGGUCUUUGGCCUGGCUAAUUUUAUAAUGUACUUCCUACUUUAGGGUAUGGUUCCUACUGCGUCAGUCUCAUACUAUAGAUGUUGUGGAAAAUAGCAUUUGCAUUGAAGUCAGUGACAGUUGAGUGCACGCACUGCAGAAAAUAAACACAAGCAUUGCUUUCAUUGGCUCUUCCUUCCUCUAUUAUACACACUAAACUUUUGCUGUUGUUUUUUUCCUCACAGAGAUACCAUGAAUAUCACUGGUAAUUCUGUCUUCCAGCUCUUUGAAGGCAGGACAGAGAAUCAGUAUUUUAUUUUUAUGUUUUUAAUAGUGGAAGAAUACCAAGUCGCUACUCUGAAACAUAUUCCACUGUGAAAAUAGCCCUGCUGAGAACAUAGCAUGGCUUUGUUUUGCCAUUCCACAGAAAAAUCAAGAAUCUAAUGAGCAAAUGGAAAAACAUGUUGACAAAAACCUUUUUUCUUAUAAUACCUUGCACAUGUUUAUGCCUAAAAACAUUUGCACAGAAUAGAUGUUUUUUUGUUGAGGUAUGUCCAAAACCAACCCAUUCACAGAACAGUACCUAACAGUUGAGCUAAAUGCUGUCUGCUUUUUUUAUAGUAGCAGCAGAAUGCAUCUGACAGUGCCUGUGGUACUGUUUGCAAAGAAAUGUAUGCAAAUUUGGGCUCAUACUGUUUGCCAGGUACAGAAUGUUUUCUUUAUGGUAAGAUAAGAUAGUUUCAACUUUUAUGCAAUUUUCAUGCAAUUUUCUGGCUUAUUGGCUGUAGAGAUCUUUUGUUGUAUUUGGAGGUGUUGCAUGUUAAGCCCUGGAGAGGCUUUGCAUUAUUUCUAGAAGUCCUGCUGAGAUAUGUGGGUGUAUGUAAAGCCAUCAGAGACAUAAAUUAGUGUUAUCUCUUUUUGUCUUCUCUGUAUUUCUUCACUGAUUGAAGAAACAAUGGAGGAAAAGAGAUUUGGGCAUCCCUAGUUUUAGUACUAUGUUUCUCAGACCACUGUUAUUCAUGCGGAUUUGUAUGUACAUGUGUUCAUCAUUGUGUGUAUCAGACACAAAAACUCCAGCUCUCAUCUCAGAUGAAGACUGUGAGGGAAAGAGGAAAGAGUUGCUGUGUUCAAUGUAGAAUGAGUUCUUCACUGUUGGAAUAUUUUCUUUUAGGAAGUGGUAGAAGAAAGCAGAGAAAAGCAGGGGAGAAAUAGAAAGUUGGGCUUUAAGUCCGUCAGACAGAUUGCCUAUUUAUCUAAGAGCUCAUCUGCUGGAAUACUCUCCUGGGAUGUGAAUUCAUGUUUCUCCUCCUACUGAAGGGAUUUGAGUCAUACCUCCCCAGAGAUGCCAUCCCCUCUUAAUGUUUCAGAGAUGAGAGUUCUUCCCAAGCUAUAGCUAACUCCUGGGUCCUGCUUGCUUAAACCACCCUGUUGGCAUGUGAGCAAGAGGUACCUGAUCCUUUGCCCACUUCCUGGGAAGCAGAUCUGGAAAGUUUCAGUUGCACUUCCUACUUUGGAUAGAUAGACCAAAGAAUAGUCUAGACUGAAAUUCAGACAACUGUGCCAUAUAUAUCUGUGACCUGAGCAUUUUCUUGAAAGUUAGAAAUACAUCUCCAAGGUGUCUCAAGCAGAGGAGGGAGCUAGGCUGAGGUUUUCAGUAUCUAGGAGGAAGGUUUGCAUCCUCAGAUCAGUUAAUGUGCAGUAGCCUGCUACUGUAAUAUUCCCUGGCUGGUUUGCAUCCAGGUAAGUGUCAAAUGGGAGACCUGGAAUGCAAAUCUAGAACAGUUUAUUCCUGCAUGCCUUUACCACGUGAAAUCAUUUAUUUGUUCUAGUAUCUCUACACAACCUAUAAUUUAACAAAGCAUGUGGGUUUAUAAUUAUCUUUGAGACUUUUAGCCUAUGUUCUUCUUCAAAUUAGAUGCUUUUAUAGACCCCAAAAUGUUUGGCAAUGGGAAAUAUGAUUAUUUAAGCCUAGGUUUCUGAGAAAACCAAGAAACUUUACUUCAUCCUCUCCUACUUUUGUUGC